CAGCUGUCUUGACAGCAUUCCCUGUCUUCCCCUUCUUCUUUUUGUCACUUUGGCUUCAGGAUUGGUAACAGCUUAGGCAUUUAAAAAAUAUCAUUUCCCUAUACUUUCACUCAUAUAAAGAAACCCUCCUUAACUGUUUGUAUUUUGAAUCAGCCCAUUUUUUUUUCUCUCUAGGGACCCCUAAGCAUACACUGUGGAUGAACUGCCUUUGUUAUUACAUAAAGCAAACUUCUACUUGUACAUUAGCUCCCAUCCCUUAAUGCCCUCUUAAGAAUAUUGAUCCAACAAUUGUCUCUUCUAUUUCUUGUAUCACCAUUUUUUCUCUCUUUCUCUUUGAUAAUUAUUGGAGCUAUGGAAACAUUUAAAUACAAACAGCAGUGAUUGUUUCUUUCUUAAAAAGAUCCUUCCUUUGAAGCCACAUUUCCCUUCACUAUCUCCUCAUUCCUCUGCUUCCCUUUAGAACAAACCACACUGCCCCCAAACCACUAUUCAGCCAUUCUGAUUCCUCUUCUACAUGCUCUUCAACCUCUACACACAUACCACCUCAUUUUAAGGGUCUUAUUUUCACACUCCAUUCAAACGGUUCUUGGGAAAGCCACCCACUCCACUUCUACCUUGCCACAUUACAUUCUCUAUUUGCAGACUUCUUAGUUGAACCAUCAAAAUAUUUGGAAACAUUUCAACUAUUUCCUCCCUGAAGCACUUUUCUUGGUUGUAUUUUGGCAUAUCUGUGUCUUUUGCUGUUUCUCUCACAUCAUUCCUUCUCUUUCUUAGUCUCCUUUGGUAGGAACUUCACCCUCUGACUUCUAAAAGUUGGAGUGCCCCAGACCUCAGACCUCUUUGCUAUGCUAUACCCUCAUUUUCGGGUUAUUCAAGUAACUUUAUGUCUUUAAUGCCAACUGGAUGCCAACUGUGCAAAACCCUCCAAUGGCUUUUCACCUCACUAAGGUCAACACCAAAGCCUUUCAGUGGUGUGCAAAAGACUACAAGAUCUGAGCCCAGCUAGCUCUGUGACAUCACCCAGAAUUCCACUCUCCAUAAUCAGUCUCCUCCUCACAUUGGACAAACAAUCGUGAUCAUACCUUGGGGCCUUUCCACAUCUUAUCCCUUCUGCUUUCUGAAGGACACCCAUAUGUUUCAUUCCCUUCCUGUUUCAGUCCUCAGAUUAAUAUCACCUUAUUAUAAAUAGGGCUUUCUAUGAUCCCUCUCUGUAAAAUAACAACAUUCUCCAACUCGACCUACUCUAUCCCUAUCAUCCUACUUAAUUUUACUUCAAGACACUUAACAUCGAAAUCACAAUACAUUCAAUUGUUUAUUUAUUUAUUGUCUGCUUCCCAACCUUUCCCCACUAGACUAUAAAUAUUGUAUAAAUCUAAGAGCUUCUUUUUUUUUUUUAAUUCAAGUCACUGAUCUCACAGCAUCUAGAAUGGUAUCUGUUACAGAGCUAGAUUCAAACUCCUGAGCUCAAGGGAUCCUCCUACAUCAGCCUCUCUAGUAGCUGAAACUACAGGGCUUAUCAAAAAUAGUGAUGACGUACAUCUUGCCAAACCUAUUGCAACCUCCCCUUAGCACUGUAGUGCCAAAUUGUCAUAGUGAGGAAAACAUAUAUGUGUGCACAAAGAAGAGGUCUUAUGAGCAUAUGAAGAGAUAGCAACCACCCACAAGCCAAGAAAACAGCUCUCAGAAGGAAACCUACUUUGCUAGAACUCUGAUCCUGGAUGUCCCACCCUCCGGAACUGAGGCUGUUUAAGCCAUGCAGUCUAUAAUAUUUUGUUAGGGAAGCCUGAGCUGAAUAAUAUAGGAGUGAGACUCGGAAUAGAAAAGGGCUCUGCCACAAAUCCAAACUGCUGAGCAAGUGGCUUUGCUAAUUGACCCAUACUGACAUUAGUGGUAUACAUUAAGGAACCUGUGAAAUCGGAAUAUAAGUUAUGGGAAAAGACGUCAUAUGUAGAAUCACAAUAAAGACUUGUAGAGUUGGACAGAACUUCCCCUCAUUAGCCAGCUUCUGUCAAACCCAUGAUAUAAGUAGUACAGAUAAUAAUCCAUUGUCAGGUAUAAAUGGUACAUCUUUAAUUUCGCAGAAGGAGGAUUGGAGAGAGCAAGCAAGUUCCAAAAACUCGCAGCCCAGAACCUCAUGUCCUCCACCAAGCUUGCACCAAAAUUUUUCUCUCUCAUGUCACAGCUAUGGCCAUACAUAAAAUCAUGUAUGACCAGAUGACAGAAGAGGAACACCUAAAGCUUAGUUCACAGAUAAGUUGACUCCGUAAGUGGUGCAAGCCAAAAAUGUAUGCUAGUUUUACGGGAAUAUAGCUGCCACAUAUUCCCACUCAAGGGUGGGCUUGAAAGAGAAUGGUAAGGGAAAAUUCUCCUAAUGGAUAGAAUUUGGGCAUUUUACUUGGGGACCAAUCUUGUAUGAAAAUAGAAGUGGUUAG
rnacentral:lncRNA from 1 species